GCCGACGUAGCUCAGCUGGUAGAGCAGCGGUUUUGUAAACCGCAGGGCGUAGGUUCAAAUCCUAUCGUCGGCU
rnacentral:tRNA from 1 species